rnacentral:lncRNA from 1 species
GAGGGAACUUUCGCCAGACACCUCUUCCCUUCUGUCCCGCCAUAUUCAAAGCUUGAGCUCUGCUGUGUUCUUGAAUGUCCCAGAAUCCAAGGGGCUGUGCAGAACCUGCCAAGGAUGUGGGAUCCGCUGCCGCCCCUGGCCCCAGCAUCCCUGCCUCUGAGCAUCUCCAGGUCAGGGUGGGCCGGGCAGCAGCCUCUCAACGCUGUCCCCACAUCAGUAGUUCCAGCCACGUGGAAGACGGACAGACGUCCCUACACCGGUCUGCCAGUGCAGCGUCUUCCCAGGAGACCCAGACCUACAGUGGGCCAAGUAAGGAGAGCAAUACAGUAGCAGGCCCAGGGGUAAGGAACGACUGCCCGUCAUCAUCCGUGCUGUGCCGCCCCAGUCUCAGGCUGUUUGCAGAGAACUCAAUUAAAACAUCUGUACUUACCCUUC